AACGAACGCUGGCGGCAGGCUUAACACAUGCAAGUCGAGCGCCCCUCCUUCAAGCAAGCUUGAAGGGAAAUACCCUUGAAAAAGAAGAUCGAGAAGAGCUUCAGAAUGAAGCUUUCUUGAUGGAGGGGAGCGGCAGACGGGUGAGUAACGCGUGGGAACGUACCCUUUUCUACGGAAUAACGCAUGGAAACGUGUGCUAAUACCGUAUACGCCCUUAGGGGGAAAGAUUUAUCGGAGAAGGAUCGGCCCGCGUUGGAUUAGCUAGUUGGUGGGGUAAAGGCCUACCAAGGCGACGAUCCAUAGCUGGUCUGAGAGGAUGAUCAGCCACAUUGGGACUGAGACACGGCCCAAACUCCUACGGGAGGCAGCAGUGGGGAAUAUUGGACAAUGGGCGCAAGCCUGAUCCAGCCAUGCCGCGUGAGUGAUGAAGGCCCUAGGGUUGUAAAGCUCUUUCACCGGUGAAGAUAAUGACGGUAACCGGAGAAGAAGCCCCGGCUAACUUCGUG
rnacentral:rRNA from 1 species